rnacentral:piRNA from 1 species
UACUUGCCUUUCCUGGUUGCCACCCAAGA